rnacentral:ncRNA from 1 species
AUGCUACGGUGAAUACGUUCCCGGGCCUUGUACACACCGCCCGUCACACCAUGGGAGUGGACUGCACCAGAAGUGGUUAGCCUAACGCAAGAGGGCGAUCACCACGGUGUGGUUCAUGACUGGGGUGAAGUCGUAACAAGGUAGCCGUAGGGGAACCUGCGGCUGGAUCACCUCCUUA